rnacentral:misc_RNA from 1 species
UGCUAUUACCUAAUGUACUAGAUUGCCUAUCAAGUAAUUUUCUGUCAUUCCAAAGUCAUGACUGUUACAUUAGAACGGCUUCUGUUGUUAUUGAAGAAUUCAGUAAUAGAGAGGAGUAUGGACCCUUGUUUGUCAAAAUUUUCGAAAGAAUUACACAAUCAGCAUCAGUAAUGGGUCUUAAUUCUUCAUAUAUAUGUGACCAAGAGCCAGAUUUAGUAGAGGCCUAUACAACUUUUGCAUCCGCAUUUGUUCGCAGCUCUCAUAAGGAAGUGUUAGCUGCAUCUGGUUCCCUUCUUGAAGUUUCCUUCCAAAAGGCAGCUAUAUGCUGUACGGCUAUGCAUCGUGGAGCAGCACUGGGUGCAAUGUCAUAUUUGUCAUGUUUUUUGGAGGUGAGCCUGGCAUCUUUGUUGGAAUCUAUGAAUUCUAUUCCUGAAGGAUCAUAUGGUGCCCUAACAAUUCAGGUCAUAUCUCAUAGUGGCGAGGGACUAGUAUCAAGUGUGGUGUAUGCUUUGCUUGGCGUUUCAGCAAUGUCACGGGUUCACAGGUGUGCAACAAUCUUGCAACAAUUGGCUG